rnacentral:rRNA from 1 species
UACGGGGGGAGCAAGCGUUGUUCGGAUUUACUGGGCGUAAAGGGCGCGUAGGCGGCCAGCACAAUUCAGUUGUGAAAUCUCCGAGCUUAACUCGGAAAGGUCAACUGAUACUGUGCGGCUAGAGUGCGGAAGGGGCAACUGGAAUUCUUGGUGUAGCGGUGAAAUGCGUAGAUAUCAAGAGGAACACCUGCGGCGAAGGCGGCUACCUGGACAAUUGCUGACGCUCAGGCACGAAAGCGUGGGGAGCAAAAGGG